UACGUAGGGUGCAAGCGUUAAUCGGAAUUACUGGGCGUAAAGCGUGCGCAGGCGGUUGUGUAAGUCAGAUGUGAAAUCCCCGGGCUCAACCUGGGAAUUGCAUUUGAGACUGCACGGCUAGAGUGUGGCAGAGGGGGGUAGAAUUCCACGUGUAGCAGUGAAAUGCGUAGAGAUGUGGAGGAACACCGAUGGCGAAGGCAGCCCCCUGGGUCAAGACUGACGCUCAUGCACGAAAGCGUGGGGAGCAAACAGG
rnacentral:rRNA from 1 species